rnacentral:lncRNA from 1 species
GGGGCCAUGAGUCAGUCUCCUGGGUUACCUACCCACGGUAGCCUUUCCUUAUAGUGCAGACAGACAUGGAAUGGAUAUAGCAAAGGAUGACACAGAGACAAAGUCUGGUGCAGUAGGCAACCUCUACUGAUCAUGAAGGUGUCUUGCAAACUGGAUCCACUGGGUAGAAGCAAUGCAGAACAGCUUGACAGCUGAAGGAUAUCAUUGUCAACACAAGGAAUCUACAUCACACAUGCCAUGGGAAGCUGACACUGCCUCAUUCUACUCAUAGGGGCCUUACAACUGCAGGACUCUUAUAUGUCUUAUCCUACAUUGGGAUCCCUGCUUGUGACAGAAGUUCCCCAUUCCAGAUGGAGCUCCCUAGCACAAAACAUCAACAGGCCACAAGUGACAGCUGCAACAGCAGUGGAGCAAAGCAAACUGUAAGAAGCUGCUGCCAAUUUCCAGAGACUUCAGACUGGCACCCGAAGAGUCCACAGGUGUGAGCCACAGUGACUGCCUACUGAUUGAGUCUGGGGAUCCUUGUGAACCGCCUGAACAAUGCUGGGAAAUGCCUGUGCCUGAGUGACCCCAGCUAUGGCCAGUACUCAAUUACUACUUUGGCCUUUUGGUACUGUCCCAAAAGAAGCUGCUAUCCUGAAUUCAGUGGCCAGGGACUAUCGGCAACUGAAAGCAUUUAACAGUAUAGGAUAAAGACUUAGAAGAGUCCCCUGUGAGUGGAAUCAGGCACUGUCAGCUUCCCAUGGCACAUGUGAUGUGGAUUCCUUGUGAUGACACUGUGAUCUUCAGCUCUCAAGCCAUUGAGAACCUGAAAAGAAAUGGGACCAGAAACAAUAGAGGAAUGAAAAUAUAGGAGAAGGGUUUAAGGAUCCAGAGUUCCAGGGAGCUGUCUUCAGGGCUGAGAACUGUAACACUAAUCCCUGUACAGGUAAAACCUACAAGUCCUAAUGCUAGAAGUCUUCAUGUGGAUUAUAAUAUGUAGAGGUAAAGGUUCUGAUAAUUCAGCCCAGCGAAGGGACUGAAGUCUUUGAGGAUACUCCUUGAUGUCAUGUCUACUACAAACCUGUCUUACCAUCAGACACACAGGGGAAAAGAAAAUAUACCAGAAGCCAGCAUUUCUUUUUUUUUAAUUAGGAAUAGAAACCAUGACUAAGACACCAGCAUCUCUGAACUUCUGAUGUGGAAUGAAGAUUACCUUGGUAAGAAUUAUUCCAGUUCUUCAGCACAAGGUCAGAACUGAUGACGCACCUACUCUCAUGGACUGAGUAGCUGUUAUGUUCUCUGCCUCUCCAUUGUGAAGAUCCUGUGGAGUAAGCCAAUCUCAGA